rnacentral:rRNA from 1 species
GACGAACGCUGGCGGCGUGCCUAAUACAUGCAAGUAGAACGCUGAAGGAGGAGCUUGCUCUUCUGGAUGAGUUGCGAACGGGUGAGUAACGCGUAGGUAACCUGCCUGGUAGCGGGGGAUAACUAUUGGAAACGAUAGCCAAUACCGCAUAACAGUAGAUGUUGCAUGACAUUUACUUAAAAGGUGCAAUUGCAUCACUACCAGAUGGACCUGCGUUGUAUUAGCUAGUUGGUGGGGUAACGGCUCACCAAGGCGACGAUACAUAGCCGACCUGAGAGGGUGAUCGGCCACACUGGGACUGAGACACGGCCCAGACUCCUACGGGAGGCAGCAGUAGGGAAUCUUCGGCAAUGGACGGAAGUCUGACCGAGCAACGCCGCGUGAGUGAAGAAGGUUUUCGGAUCGUAAAGCUCUGUUGUAAGAGAAGAACGAGUGUGAGAGUGGAAAGUUCACACUGUGACGGUAUCUGACCAGAAAGGGACGGCUAACUACGUG